GGCGACUGUUUGUUUACUUCGAAACAAUACAUAACCUCAUUAUUUGUUGCUAUUUCUUUUUAGUUUUUCUUUAGAAAAUGUUCUCAUCCAACAGUUCUUCUAAGACAUAACUAACAAAAAAGGACGUUUCCAAUGAAUCUGGACGAUUGAAUGAGCUUCCAUAGACUCAAAUUACCCUAUUGUAAUAAGAACAUUAAUUAUUAUUCACUAAAAUUACAAUUCUGUAAUUCUCAUGCCACUUUACGCACAUUCCCCAACAAGCACAAGUAAAAGAUUUUUCGGGUAAUGCAUCAAUAAAUAUAGUAAUAUUAUAAUAAAAAUUGAAGUGUAAGCUGUAUAUCAUGUUAUAAUUAAUAAUUUAGAGGACGUAGUACGUUUCGAAUACUUAUAUCUGCAAAUAGAAUGUAGCAUACAUAUUUAACUGCAGUGUGUACUAUCAAACAAUGUUUUGUCGUGGUAAUAAUGUGUAUAAUUCAAGAAAUAGAAAAUAAUGAAGGUAUCCCGGAGAAAAUGGUAUCAUUACUCACUUCGAAUACCUCAAAGAUUUAGAAGUUGCAUGUUACCAAGAAAACUAUUAAUGAACAGUGCAAGACAAUAAAUGAACAUAUCAUGCAGAGAAUGGUACUCCAAAAGGAUUUAAAAUGAAAAAUAAUGAGAUUCACUUUUAUGUAGUACAAUUGUUCAUAAUAAACAGAAAUUAAAUUGUAUUAUUUAGAAUUAAUCAUGUGCAAUAAAACUAUUGUGUGAAAUUCUUUUAAAUUCCUUACCUUGCUUCUUACAUUAAUUUCUCUGUAUAAGAGCUGGUAGUUAGUGACUAAUAUUUUCUUUUCCCUCUGUUCUUCCUUCUUAGUAGUUAUUUACGAAUUAUUAUAAUAAAAAUACUAAGUUAACAAAUAAAUUAGCAAAUAUAUUUGAUGAUGAAAUUAAUAAAAAGCUCAUAAGAUGGUCUAAUUACUAAGAGUCCAGAAAAAUAUAUUUAAUUACUCAUCAGCUCAUAAAUUCUAUUUGCAGCUUGUAAAUUAAUUGUGAAAAUAAAAUGACAAGGUCUCCUAUAUACAGAACACGAUUAAAAAGUAAUUUGUUAAAUUAAGUGAAAUAUUACAUUUUUAUAGUCCUUUAUAAUCUUAAUUUUUUUUUUCACU